rnacentral:rRNA from 1 species
UACGGGGGGAGCAAGCGUUGUUCGGAUUUACUGGGCGUAAAGGGCGCGUAGGCGGCUUUUCAAGUCGGGCGUGAAAUCUCCGGGCUUAACCCGGAAGGGUCGUUCGAUACUGUUGAGCUAGAGUGUGGAAGAGGCAACUAGAAUUCCGUGUGUAGCGGUGAAAUGCGUAGAUAUACGGAGGAAUACCUGAGGCGAAGGCGGGUUGCUGGGCCAACACUGACGCUGAGGCGCGAAAGCGUGGGGAGCAAACAGG